rnacentral:rRNA from 1 species
CGUAGGUGGCAAAGCGUUGUCCGGAUUUAUUGGGUUUAAAGGGUGCGUAGGCCGGUGAUUUAAGUCAGUGGUGAAAUACUUCAGCUUAACUGGAGAGGUGCCCAUUGAUACUGGGUCACUUGAGUACUGAUGAGGUAGGCGGAAUGGACGGUGUAGCGGUGAAAUGCUUAGAUAUCGUCCAGAACACCGAUAGCGAAGGCAGCUUACUAAGGAGUAACUGACGCUGAGGCACGAAAGUGUGGGGGAUCAAACAGGAUUAGAUACCCUGGUAGUCCACACUGUAAACGAUGAUCACUCGAUGUUGGCGAUACACAGCCAGCGUCUUAGCAAAAGCGAUAAGUGAUCCACCUGGGGAGUACGCCGGCAACGGUG